rnacentral:rRNA from 1 species
CGGACGGGUGAGUAAUGUAUGGGGAUCUGCCUGAUGGCGGGGGAUAACUACUGGAAACGGUAGCUAAUACCGCAUAAUGUCUGCGGACCAAAGCGGGGGACCUCCGGGCCUCGCGCCAUCAGAUGAACCCAUAUGGGAUUAGCUAGUAGGUAAGGUAACGGCUUACCUAGGCGACGAUCCCUAGCUGGUCUGAGAGGAUGACCAGCCACACUGGAACUGGGACACGGUCCAG